CCUACGGGAGGCAGCAGUGAGGAAUAUUGGUCAAUGGGCGGAAGCCUGAACCAGCCAAGUAGCGUGCGGGAUGAAGGCCCUACGGGUCGUAAACCGCUUUUGCACGGGGAUAACACCCUCCACUUGUGGAGGUCUGCAGGUACCGUGCGAAUAAGGGCCGGCUAAUUCCGUGCCAGCAGCCGCGGUAAUACGGAAGGCCCGAGCGUUAUCCGGAUUCAUUGGGCUUAAAGGGGGCGUAGGCGGGCGUUCAAGUCAGCGGGAAAAUCUCGCGGCGCAACCGCGCCCCGCAGUUGAAACUGGACGCCUUGAGUGCACAACAGGUAGGCGGAAUUCGUGGUGUAGCAGUGAAAUGCAUAGAUAUCACGAGGAACCCCGAUUGCGAAGGCAGCCUGCCGGGGUGCGACUGACGCUGAGGCUCGAAGGUGCGGGUAUCAAACAGGAUUAGAUACCCUUGUAGUC
rnacentral:rRNA from 1 species